UGUCUAAUUGUUUGCCUGUCUAUUUAUUCAUUCUUUUUUUCUUUUCUUUUGUACAAGGCAAGUUGCAGGAAGCAGCUGAAGUAAAGGAAGCCAAGAGCAUCCUCAUUCACAUCAAGGACAGAGACUGUGUGGCUCUGGAGGUGCAGUACCACAGAAGUUGCUCCAGAGAGUACACAAGGUUUUUGAGUGAGCCUGUCAGAGCAGAGAAAGAACAGAUUGGGCCAACAUUUGAUCUGAGCUACAAGUUAUUCUGCGAGAGGGUAAUCCGCUAAAGGCUACUGAUCAACCAAGAGGUGCUGAGGAUGAGCCAACUGAGGAAGGCCUUUAUUGCCCUUGUGCAGUCAAGUGAAGGUGUUGAUGCUUCAACCUACAGACAGGAUAUAUUGAAGAAGAGGCUCAGUCGUGAUUUUCCUCAGCUAGUGUUCCACACCCCCGCCAAACGCAACACAUCUGAACUGGUUUUUGCUGAGAACUUGUCGACGAAUGCAGUCUUGGACUUGUUACCAUCAGGUGCGGAGACGACUCAGUCCAGCGAAAUGAGCCAGGCAGACAGAGACACAGAAAGGAGGAAGUCAAAGCAACCAACCACAGCAGAGGAGACACGGACACUUUACACAGCAGCUUUGCUUUUGAAGAGGCUGCUUAGUCACAGUCCUGGCAUGUCAUGCCCAUGGCCCCCAACUGCAGUAAACUUCAAUCUCACUGAAGUCAUUUGCUGUGGCAUGCGCAAAAGAUGUGUACCUGGAUGCUUUCACACAGUUCAUGAAAAUGCCGGUUCAUGUGUAUGCCACUUGUUUUGAUUUUUUUAUUUGUUGUAUAGUUAUUAGUGAAUAAAUGAAUACAUGAA